GAUGAACGCUGGCGGCGUGCUUAACACAUGCAAGUCGAACGGAAAGGCCCAAGCUUGCUUGGGUACUCGAGUGGCGAACGGGUGAGUAACACGUGGGUGAUCUGCCCUGCACUUCGGGAUAAGCCUGGGAAACUGGGUCUAAUACCGGAUAGGACCACAUUUUGGAUGGUGUGGUGGAAAGCUUUUCGGUGUGGGAUGAGCUCGCGGCCUAUCAGCUUGUUGGUGGGGUAAUGGCCUACCAAGGCGUCGACGGGUAGCCGGCCUGAGAGGGUGUACGGCCACAUUGGGACUGAGAUACGGCCCAGACUCCUACGGGAGGCAGCAGUGGGGAAUAUUGCACAAUGGGCGCAAGCCUGAUGCAGCGACGCCGCGUGGGGGAUGACGGCCUUCGGGUUGUAAACUCCUUUCGCUAGGGACGAAGCGUUAUGUGACGGUACCUGGAGAAGAAGCACCGGCUAACUACGUG
rnacentral:rRNA from 1 species